rnacentral:lncRNA from 1 species
CUGGCACUGGUUAAAUUAUAAGAUACACUACAAUCUCGUUCCCUGACCUCUUGAAGGUUUUGUUGAUAAAGGAAAAACGUAAACAUACAAGUAAACAGGUUAUAAGACCCACACAAGCAAGGUUUUGCUGAACUGAAUAUACUGAAUUAUUACAACAACUAUUAUAAUUAAAGAAAUGCCGAUAUGAACAAGAACCUGGAAAAGAACAAUGUAGCUUUCUGGA